UAGGGAAUCUUCCACAAUGGGCGAAAGCCUGAUGGAGCAACGCCGCGUGCAGGAUGAAAGCCUUCGGGUCGUAAACUGCUUUUAUAUGCGAAGACUUCGACGGUAGCAUAUGAAUAAGGAUCGGCUAACUCCGUGCCAGCAGCCGCGGUCAUACGGAGGAUCCAAGCGUUAUCCGGAAUUACUGGGCGUAAAGAGUUGCGUAGGUGGCAUAGUAAGUCGGUAGUGAAAUUGUGUGGCUCAACCAUACACCCAUUACUGAAACUGCUAAGCUAGAGUAUAUGAGAGGUAGUUGGAAUUCCUAGUGUAGGAGUGAAAUCCGUAGAUAUUAGGAGGAACACCGAUGGCGUAGGCAGACUACUGGCAUAUUACUGACACUAAGGCACGAAAGCGUGGGGAGCGAACGGG
rnacentral:rRNA from 1 species